rnacentral:rRNA from 1 species
GGGCCCGCACAAGCGGUGGAGCAUGUGGUUUAAUUCGACGCAACGCGAAGAACCUUACCAGGUCUUGACAUCCUGCGAAUCUCUUGGAAACGAGAGAGUGCCUUCGGGAGCGCAGUGACAGGUGGUGCAUGGCUGUCGUCAGCUCGUGUCGUGAGAUGUUGGGUUAAGUCCCGCAACGAGCGCAACCCACGUCUUUAGUUGCCAGCAUUUAGUUGGGCACUCUAGAGAGACCGCCGGUGAUAAACCGGAGGAAGGUGUGGAUGACGUCAAGUCAUCAUGCCCCUUACAUCCUGGGCUACACACGUACUACAAUGCUACGGACAAAGGGCAGCAAGUUCGCGAGGACAAGCAAAUCCCAUAAACCGUGGCUCAGUUCAGAUCGUAGGCUGCAACUCGCCUACGUG